rnacentral:rRNA from 1 species
UCCGUAGGCGGGUAAUUAAGUCAGAGGUGAAAUCCCACAGCUUAACUGUGGAACUGCCUUAGAUACUGGUUAUCUUGAGUUUUAGUGAAGUAGAUAGAAUGUGUAGUGUAGCGGUGAAAUGCAUAGAUAUUACACAGAAUACCGAUUGCGAAGGCAGUCUACUAACUAACAACUGACGCCAAUGGACGAAAGCGUGGGGAGCGAACAGGAUUAGAUACCCUGGUAGUCC